CGAGAAUCAUUCACAAUGGGGGAAACCCUGAUGGUGCGACGCCGCGUGGGGGAAUGAAGGUCUUCGGAUUGUAAACCCCUGUCAUGUGGGAGCAAAUUAAAAAGAUAGUACCACAAGAGGAAGAGACGGCUAACUCUGUGCCAACAGCCGCGGUAAUACAGAGGUCUCAAGCGUUGUUCGGAAUCACUGGGCGUAAAGCGUGCGUAGGCUGUUUCGUAAGUCGUGUGUGAAAGGCGCGGGCUCAACCCGCGGACGGCACAUGAUACUGCGAGACUAGAGUAAUGGAGGGGGAACCGGAAUUCUCGGUGUAGCAGUGAAAUGCGUAGAUAUCGAGAGGAACACUCGUGGCGAAGGCGGGUUCCUGGACAUUAACUGACGCUGAGGCACGAAGGCCAGGGGAGCGAAAGGGAUUAGAUACCCCUGUAGUCCUGGCAGUAAACGGUGCACGCUUGGUGUGCGGGGAAUCGACCCCCUGCGUGCCGGAGCUAACGCGUUAAGCGUGCCGCCUGGGGAGUACGGUCGCAAGAUUAAAACUCAAAGAAAUUGACGGGGACCCGCACAAGCGGUGGAGUAUGUGGCUUAAUUCGAUGCAACGCGAAGAACCUUACCUGGGCUUGACAUGUAAUGAACAACAUGUGAAAGCAUGCGACUCUUCGGAGGCGUUACACAGGUGCUGCAUGGCCGUCGUCAGCUCGUGUCGUGAGAUGUUUGGUUAAGUCCAGCAACGAGCGCAACCCCUGUUGCCAGUUACCAGCACGUGAAGGUGGGGACUCUGGCGAGACUGCCCAGAUCAACUGGGAGGAAGGUGGGGACGACGUCAGGUCAGUAUGGCCCUUAUGCCCAGGGCUGCACACGUACUACAAUGCCCAGUACAGAGGGGGCCGAAGCCGCGAGGCGGAGGAAAUCCUGAAAACUGGGCCCAGUUCGGACUGUAGGCUGCAACCCGCCUACACGAAGCCGGAAUCGCUAGUAAUGGCGCAUCAGCUACGGCGCCGUGAAUACGUUCCCG
rnacentral:rRNA from 1 species